rnacentral:snoRNA from 14 species
AAGCCAUGAUGAGGGCAUUGGUUGGUAUAACCCUUAAAACACUCUCAUGCUUCACAGAAGCUUUCACCAGCUUUCUGUAAAAAGCCGGAGAUCUCAUUUCUGAGUCU